AUUGAACGCUGGCGGCAGGCCUAACACAUGCAAGUCGAACGAGUGGCGGACGGGUGAGUAAUGUCUGGGAAACUGCCUGUUGGAGGGGGAUAAAUACUGGAAACGGUAGCUAAUACCGCAUACCAUCAGAUGUGCCCAGAUGGGAUUAGCUAGUAGGUGGUGUAAUGGCGUUACAAGGCGACGAUCCCUAGCUGGUCUGAGAGGAUGACCAGCCACACUGGAACUGAGACACGGUCCAGACUCCUACGGGAGUCAGCAGUGGGGAAUAUUGCACAAUGGGCGCAAGCCUGAUGCAGCCAUGCCGCGUGUGUGAAGAAGGCCUUCGGGUUGUAAAGCACUUUCAGCGGGGAGGCGUUACCCGCAGAAGAAGCACCGGCUAACUCCGUGCCAGCAGCCGCGGUAAUAC
rnacentral:rRNA from 1 species